CUGAGCUUGUGAGACGAGUAGAGAAAGAUCUGCUGAAAAUCAUGGCUGGUGGAACUGCUGAAAAUGCUGAUAUCCUUGCAUUAAAUAACUUCUACAUAACUUUGUAGCAAUACACAUGUUUCUUGUACAGCAUGAAUAACUGAACCUUUAGACAAAUUAUGAGCUUCUGCACUAAAUCACUAAUAUAGGUCACACAUUACCAAAAAAUUUGCCAUCCUACACUGAGAAUAAGACUUAUAUACACUUUUCAAUGGUCUAUACUAUAUAUGCCCUUUGAUAUUCCUUUACCAAGUUUCGCCAGAUAAUUAAUGUGAAUAUAAGCCAACUUAGCUAUUAAGAGAGUUGAAAGCAGUAACUGCUUAUCUUUUGGGGGCUGGGGUGGGCGCAGGGCCUGAAUGGUGGAACGCAUAUUUGAUUCGUAACAGUAGAAAAAUAGGCUAGUGGGAUUCAUUCAUAAUUUUUAUUCCUUGACCUAACUAGGUAGCGGUUCACUUGUUGAAGUGGCUGAGCAAGCUGAAGGUGGUCGUAAUGCAAGUAAGAAAACUGCACCUAUACCUGCACCCAAGCCUGAUGUUUCAGAGGCCGGAACAAAUGCUGGGGAACCGGAGAGAAGUGAUUCUGACGAGUCGGAUGAUUCAAUAUAAUCUUGACCGGCGUUGGCCCUAGUUUUACUAUCAUCAAUCGCUAAUCCGAAAUGGAGAAAAAUUAAUUGUUAUUUUUCAUUUGGAGUUUAAAUUUGAUAUUUGGAAUUUCAUAUUUGGAUCAUAUUAUUAAUAAAUUUGAAUUUCACUCGUAUUUUCUCG
rnacentral:lncRNA from 1 species